ensembl:lncRNA
CCCUGCGUCUUGCUGCUUUAAACACGGAGCGGCAGACAGCGACUCCCACACGCGCUCGCACACACUUGCACACACAGCUUAGCCACUCUCUCCUCUUCCUCGUGCUCUCUCUUUUCUCUUUCACUUUCACUGUGUCCUCCUUUUCUGUGCCUGUCUCUCUCUCUCUCCGUCUCUCUCUCUCCCCCCCUCUCUCUCCUGGGAGAGCUCUGUCUUUUUUCUUGCCCACAUGACUUAGCCCCUUCCUCUGCCUUCUGUGGUGGCUGCUAUCAGUGCUUCUCUCCAGCUCUCUGGCAGACCACACACACCUUCCUUUCCUCCUGCGCUGCCCCCUCCCACCUGCAGUAUGUACUCUACCUGGAGGAGACGUUUCUGUGGUGUGUGUCUGCUGGCUAGGCUGGCUAGGCUCAUUUUGUCGUCGCUAGGACUGGGGACUGCUUUCCAUAUGUUCCUGCUGUACCCGGACUUUGCCACCAGAACAAAGUUGGCUGUCCAGAAAGCGCUGCAAAGAGUUGGAGUCGUUGGAAUUCUUGCCUGUGCUUCUUGUGGUGCCCUUGGUGGGUGCCUCUCUUCAGAAGCCUGUAAGGGAGUAUCUGGAGACUCAGCGUGCGAAGCUCCACCAACGGGCGGGAGAGGGCACUCCAGCUGUGAGUAUGAGCCUGUUCUCUUUAAACCCGUUCACCUCUCCUUCUCUUUUUUUCCCUCUCCUCCUCCUCCUCCUCCUCCUCCUCCUCCUCCUUCUCCUGUAACUGUCUCGUUUCAAAUCGGCUACUGGCUUUGUAUUUCCCUUUCUCUCUCUUUUUUCUGUCUCAUUUUCUCUCUGUCUCUGUUUGGCACUGUAUGUUUUUUCUUUGUAUGUCCUUUUUAUCCUCUUCUUGUUUCAUCAUGUUCUUUCUCUCUCCUCUGAAUUUUUUCCACCUUCUGUUCACGAUCUUGUUUGCAGAGUUCAGCUGUGUGAAAAUUCAAACUUUAAGAACCUCCAUUUGAAUUAGAUAGGUAGCUUUCCUCUGAGCUGUUCUGUUAUAGACACAGUGAUGUACAUUUGCGGCGUGGAAUUGAGCGGGACAUGUGUGUGUGUGUGUGUGUGUGUGUGUGUGUGGAUGUGUGUAUGUAUGUGUGUGUGUGUGUGUGUGUGUGUGUGUGUGUGUGUGUGUGUGUGUGUGUGUGUGUGUGUGCGCGUGAGCGUGAGCGGAGGCCGGCGAGGGGCCCUGGCGGCAGGGGGAUGCUGAGUCAUGCCCAGCAGUCGGAGCUCCUCGGAGUGAACCGGACACUCCCCCGCGUCACACACACACACACUCACACACUCACACACACAUACACACUCCUCCCCUCCCUCCAUCCUAGUGCCGAACCCUGAUGAACCCGGCGCGGGCUUUGAGGGAGGGGUGGUGGACACGCAGGGAACAGGGGAGGGUGGGGAGGAGGGUGGUCCACACCGCUCUCUGACAGUCUAUCAAAUCUGUGUCUGGAACAAAGAAAUCCAACUGCACCUCUCUGAGAACAGCUUUCAUUCAUUACCAUUAGGGCACGUUUUCAAAAGAAAUAACACGGCUGCCUUUCAAGCUUUUGUAGUUUAGUAGUAAGUAAUGGUUUUUUUUCUUCAGGUUGUUAGGACAUCAGGGUGGAAGAAAAAGCGUAACUGAGACUUGAAGUUGCACAACGAGAGAUUACGGUUGUUUCUGGAACAAUGUUCCCUUUUUUUCUUGUAACUUGAACCUUCUGCAGUUACAUGAGAGAGGUAGAGGCAUUUUAAGUCUUGCUCAGGAGAAGCUACCAGUGAGAGGCCACUGCCAUGCGGAGAGACAAGAGGAAGUGGGGGACCCCCCCCAUACUUAAAUUUAGAGCUAGUUUUUUUUACAGCUAUGUUCCAAUCUGGACACGCUUUGUUCUUCAUGAAGAGGAACUGAUUGGUUUCUUUGUCAUGUCGUUUGUUCACGAUGCACUUUGAACAGUUUGGGAGUCUUUGGUGCACUGCUUGCUCGGUGUGUUAACCCCCCCGUCACCCUCCUCCUCUGGACAGAAGGGAAACUGGCUGCCGUGGCUGUACGAGAAGGUGGCGAUCACCGUGGUCUGUUUCAGUUGUAUCUCCUUUCGACUCUGUGUCACAUAGUUAAGCCAGGUGCUCAUCCAGCACAGAAAUGUUCAGAGAACAAAACCAAGUUGUGAGUGAGGGAGACAAGGUGACUUAUUUGGGCCUCAAGUCUCAAAAACUUUCUGCCUCAAUCUUAAAUGUAUGAAGGUCAGUAUUGCAUAUCCUCCUUGAAGUUAGGUAUUUGGCUAUUUUAUGCCCCUUUUCUUGAGAUAUUGUUUAGUAAGGUAUUGUCAUGGGAGGUCUUUCUAUCCUUCAGAUAGAUUUGGGUGGGACUCCAUGACUGCAUGAUCAAAUUAAUUGUCAGGUGAAUGUAAUUGACAGAUGCUGUAAUUACUCAACAGAAGUAUGGCCUUACUCUUUUCCAUGAGCUUCAGCCUACACUCGGUGCUAGAUAAUCAGACUUCAGUCUAGGCUAUAGGGUCUUAAGGCUGAAAUCGAAUUUGAUUUAAUUUGUGGAUGUAUUGCAAGUGCGAGUGUUUUGUGAGAUGUUAUGUUAUGAAAUUAACCAUACAUACUAUUUUUAGCAUUUUUCCCACUGCCACUGGUGGUAUUUUUAUUCUGUACCUACCAAAAGACAAAAAGCCUUUUUGGAUCAGACUUUAUAAAAGCACCGUGAUUCAUUCUGGUCCUUCCCAUUGUCUGGACUUUUUGUUCUAUUUCCAGUAAAAAAGAGCAUGUGAGUCAGACCCAGGGCCAAGUCAACCAGAUGCUAUAAUGUAUUGAAUGGAUUAAGGCCUGUGUGUGUGCAUAUGUGCGUGUGGGUGACUGCCACAUUUCUUCUGAGGGCCCCCUUAUCUAUUCGUGUUCUUUGUACUGACUUGGAGGUUCCUCUUUAAAGGGCUUCCUGGCUUGAGCGUUGUUCAUUUGCACAGAGUUUAGUUGGUGAAUCCAUCUGCCCAUCCCUCUGCUGUUUAAAUGAUUGUAUGUGGUUUGAACGAGAUGGUAAGUGCUUCUUCAUCUCUCUGCGAACUCUCAUCUCCUGGCCGUCUCGUGUUGUGUGUUUCAUUCAGGCUUUUUUUGUCGUCUUGACUCAACCCCUGGAAAGCAUAAAGCGUCUGUAAACUCGCGCUUUGUGCUUCUUCCCGUUGCGGGGGCACCACUUAAAACGACCGUUAUGUCAUCAUUUAUUUUUUUGCUUUUCUCGUCUUCUCGCUCGGUGGGAUAACGUCAGCCAGCUUGUAUGCAAAACUCGCUUCCAAGAUCCAUGUGUUUUUUCCUCCUUUUUCUUCUUUUAAUUGCUUGUGAAACCCUCUUUUUUUCCUGGUGCCUCCUUGUAACGCUACCCCGGUAUGCUAGUCUGGAAGCAACAGGCAUAUAAAAAAUGGAACAGUGUGGAGUUUCUUUGGCGUUACCUUAAAUGAACCCGCGAAUGAACUCGAUGCACUGCACUCUCUCUCCACCGCUCGCUCUCUCUCUCUGCUUGGCUGAGUGGAUGAGAGAGGCAGUGGCGCAGGCACUCGCAAGCGCACACACACACACACACACACACACACACACACACACACACACACAGCUCUCCUCACAGCGAGGCUGUGCGCGGUGGGAAAGACUGCCCGGACUUAUAAGCGGCGCUUCACAAAAAAGAGCCCCUCUCCACUGCAGCCACUCCUCUCACUGGCGGGGUAAGUCAAUGCUGGCAGGUUGAUGUGUGAUUUGCUCGGUCGACGGAUGUGUGCGUGUGUGUGUGUGUGUGUAUGUAUAUGUAUGUUUUUCUGUUUUUAGUCGUACUCCCAGCCUGUCAGAUAGCUUAUCAGACUGGUGUUGGCUGUUAAAUUGCAUGGCGACAACAGUCUGUAGGCUGUCUGACAUUUUGGGCUCUUUCAUCGACAGGCAUCUUUUUUUGUGUCUUUGUAUUUAUUUUGAUUUUUGAAAGGGUUGUCACAUUUGUCCCCGUUUUAAUGUAAUUUCGUCAUUGUCAUUUAAUAUACAGACAUAUAUUAUACAUGUUUGAUGGAUUGCUUUUGGCUAAUCCUUACAUUUACUCUUUUUUUGUAAACGUGAAUUACAACAGGCAUGCCAGGGUCAGUCAUGUUUGAAUCUGUGCCAUGUAAAAAGAAUCUCGGAACUACCAGUGUACUACCAUCUAACACAGUGAAAUGUGGCUGUAUGUAUGAGUGUGCAUUUGUGGGUGUGUGCAUGCUCUCUCUCUCUCUCUCCCUCUCUGUGUGUGUGCAUGCUCUCUCUCUCUCUCCCUCUCCCUCUCCCUCUCCCUCUUCCUCUCUCUGUGGGUGUAUGCGUGUGCCUCAGUUCUCCACAGUAUUACUGUCUUCCCGUUCAUACAGGCUUCUGUGUGUAUUUCCGGGGUUUGGAUCAGUCCACUUGAAUUUCUUGGGAAUCCAGAGAGCACACGCAUUCACACGAAUGCGCGCACACACACACACCUUAUUGUAACACAUGCUGCGAUGGCAGAGAAUUGGUGAGGUGCUCGCAGCAGACUCCCUCCCCUCCGCCCUCCCCUUACUCACUGGCUCCUCUCCAGUCUUGCUCAAUACUUUUUUGGUUGUUGUUGUUAUGGGCUGUAUUUUUGUGUCCUGAUUUUUUGGGCUCACAUAUUUUCUGGUGUCGAUCUAUUUUUUCCAUCUUUUAGAACUUUUUCAACUAGUACUACUUUUGAUUUAACUUAAGGCCUAGAUGGGUUACCUUAAUAAAGUUAUUUUUUUUAUCA